GACAGAGGGGGCAAGCGUUGCUCGGGAUUACUGGGCGUAAAGGGCGCGUAGGCGGGAUGGCAAGUCGGUCGUGAAAUCCCUCGGCUCAACCGAGGAACGUCGAUCGAUACUGCUGUUCUUGAGGAUUGCAGAGGAGACUGGAAUUCCCGGUGUAGCGGUGAAAUGUGUAGAGAUCGGGAGGAACACCGGUGGCGAAGGCGGGUCUCUGGGCAAUUCCUGACGCUGAGGCGCGAAAGCGUGGGGAGCAAACGGG
rnacentral:rRNA from 1 species